AGCUACCUGCCUGAACUCUUCUACUCCAGGAUUUAUAAAUGCCUCUCCUCUAAAAUCAUCUUCUUACUUUAAGUCUUCAGCAUCUCAAGACUGUCUUGAACACCUAUUGUCACUUUCGGACUUAAAAUCUCAACCAUCAAAGCACGUGGCAGGCGACGCUCGUCCUUUGUGGGAAUGCGCACACAGCAAAGCCUCACUGUCUGAACCUUGGCAUUUUACACAAGAAAAAUAUCCAAGUAGCUCAUGGGACUCAAGGCCCUAAGAAGGCAGGGAGAGACAUACUCGCACACGUUUCCUGAGAAACGGAGCCGCAAUGUGACGGCGGAGCUCCAGUAAGAACCUUCUCGUGCACCCAGCUUCUCUUCCACAAAUGUAAACCCUAAAUCACCUCAGAAAAUGUUCUACCACACUUGA